rnacentral:rRNA from 1 species
AUUUUUAAUUCCCUAAUUUUUAAUUAAACGCUGGCGGCAGGCCUAACACAUGCAAGUCGAGCGGAUGAGGGGAGCUUGCUCCUUGAUUCAGCGGCGGACGGGUGAGUAAUGCCUAGGAAUCUGCCUGGUAGUGGGGGAUAACGUUCCGAAAGGAACGCUAAUACCGCAUACGUCCUACGGGAGAAAGCAGGGGACCUUCGGGCCUUGCGCUAUCAGAUGAGCCUAGGUCGGAUUAGCUAGUUGGUGAGGUAAUGGCUCACCAAGGCGACGAUCCGUAACUGGUCUGAGAGGAUGAUCAGUCACACUGGAACUGAGACACGGUCCAGACUCCUACGGGAGGCAGCAGUGGGGAAUAUUGGACAAUGGGCGAAAGCCUGAUCCAGCCAUGCCGCGUGUGUGAAGAAGGUCUUCGGAUUGUAAAGCACUUUAAGUUGGGAGGAAGGGCAGUAAGUUAAUACCUUGCUGUUUUGACGUUACCAACAGAAUAAGCACCGGCUAACUUCGUGCCAGCAGCCGCGGUAAUACGAAGGGUGCAAGCGUUAAUCGGAAUUACUGGGCGUAAAGCGCGCGUAGGUGGUUUUGUAAGUUGGAGGUGAAAUCCCCGGGCUCAACCUGGGAACUGCCUCCAAAACUGCAUGACUAGAGUACGGUAGAGGGUGGUGGAAUUUCCUGUGUAGCGGUGAAAUGCGUAGAUAUAGGAAGGAACACCAGUGGCGAAGGCGACCACCUGGACUGAUACUGACACUGAGGUGCGAAAGCGUGGGGAGCAAACAGGAUUAGAUACCCUGGUAGUCCACGCCGUAAACGAUGUCAACUAGCCGUUGGGUUCCUUGAGAACUUAGUGGCGCAGCUAACGCGAUAAGUUGACCGCCUGGGGAGUACGGCCGCAAGGUUAAAACUCAAAUGAAUUGACGGGGGCCCGCACAAGCGGUGGAGCAUUUGGUAUCGUGACUGGGAAACAGAUCGGAAGAGCACACGUCUGAACUCCAGUCACCGGCUAUGAUCUCGUAUGCCGUCUUCUGCUUGAAAAAAAAAA